UGCUCAGUUUGGCAGCAAUAUCCUAAAACUGGAAUAAUCAGAGAAUAUUAGCAUGGCACCGGUGCAAAGAUAACAGACAAAUUUGUGAAGUGUUCCAAAUUAAA